UUUUAGUUAUAAUGUUUUUUAUUAAGUGAGGUUGUCUGAAUGACCCUAGAUAAAGUUUGGUUAAACAACUCUGAUUUUAAGUAGACCAAUAAUAUUUAAGAUAAACGAUAAAAUAUAAAAAAAUUAUCUCACUUAUUUUAAAUAUCAUUGGUUAAGCUAGAACAUAUGUAAUUUAACCUAAAUUUUAUCGUCAUUUAGAUAACUCUUUAAUAAGUUUUUAAUUAUUUUAAAA
rnacentral:pre_miRNA from 1 species